AGAGUUUGAUCCUGGCUCAGGAUGAACGCUAGCGGCGUACCUUAGGUAUGCAAGUCGAACGGUCUUGUUUCGGCAAGAUAGUGGCAGACGGGUGAGUAACGCGUAGGAACUUACCCUCUGGCGUGGAAUAGCUCAUCGAAAGGUGGGGUAAUACCGCAUAAGUUCCAACCUAGUUGGAAGAAAGAGCGUAACUGCUCACCAGUGGAAAGGCCUGCGUCCUAUCAGCUUGUUGGUGAGGUAAUGGCUCACCAAGGCAUUAACGGGUAGUUGGUGUGAGAGCACGACCAGCCACAGGGUCACUGAGACACGGGGCCCACACCUACGGGUGGCAGCAACCGGGAAUAUUGCGCAAUGGGCGAAAGCCUGACGCAGUGACGCCGCGUGGAGGAUGAAGGCCUUCGGGUCGUAAACUCCUUUUCUGAAGGAAGAUGAUGACGGUACUUCAGGAAUAAGCACCUGCAAACUACGUGCCAGCAGCCGCGGUAAUACGUAGGGUGCAAGCGUUAUCCGGAUUUACUGGGCGUAAAGAGUAUCGUAGGCUGAGUAGCAAGUUCUAGCUCAAAUUCCAAGGCUUAACUUUGGACCGGGUUAGAAUACUGUUAUUCUAGAACUAGGUAGGGGAUGCUGGAAUUCCUGGUGGAGGGGUGAAAUCCGUUGAUAUCGGGAGGAACACCGAGGGCGAAGGCAAGCAUCUGGGCCUCAGUUAACGCUGAUGAACGAAAGCUAGGGUAGCAAAAGGGAUUAGAGACCCCUGUAGUCCUAGCCGUAAACGAUGUCCGCUAGUUUGUCCGAUUUUUUAAUUGGACUGACGUAAGCUAACGCGUUAAGCGGACCGCCUGGGGAGUACGACCGCAAGGUUAAAACUCAAAGGAAUUGACGGGGAUCUGCACAACCAGUGGAGCAUGUGGUUCAAUUCGAUACGAAGCGUAGAACCUUACCUGGGCUUGACAUGUUACUGCACGCCCUUCGAAAGAGGGGAAGCCUUAGAGGGUGUAACACAGCUGCUGCAUGGCUGUCGUCAGCUCUAGUCGUGAGAUGUUCCCUUAAGUGGGGUAUAGAGCGCAACCCUUAUCCUGUGUUGUAUAUCACAGGAAACUGCCUCAGUUUAACUGGGGAGGAAGGAGAGGAUGACGUCAAGUCAGCAUGGUGCUUACGUCCAGGGCGACACACAUCCCACAAUGGAUGCUACAAUGGGUUGCUAAGCCGUAAGGUGGAGCUAAUCCCAAAAAAGCAUCCUCAGUUCGGAUUGUGGGCUGCAAUUCGCCCACAUGAAGUCGGAAUUGGUAGUAAUCGCGGGUCAGCAGACCGCGGUGAAUACGUUCUCAGAUCUUGUACACACUGCCCGUCAAGCGAGGAAAGUUGGGGGUACCCGAAGCUGUUUUUCUUGUCCCGAGUUAAUCGGAAAAGAAAGCAUUUAAGGUAAACUCAGCGAUCAGCACUAAGUCGUAACAAGGUA
rnacentral:rRNA from 1 species